AUUUUGGACAAUGGGGGAAACCCUGAUCCAGCCAUGCGCGUGAGUGAAGAAGGCCUUCGGGUUGUAAAGCUCUUUCAGCCGGAACGAAACGGUCACGGCUAAUACCUGUGACCACUGACGGUACCGGAAGAAGAAGCACCGGCUAACUACGUGCCAGCAGCCGCGGUAAUACGUAGGGUGCAAGCGUUACUCGGAAUUACUGUGCGUAAAGCGUGCACAGGCGGUUUUGUAAGUCAGAUGUGAAAUCCCCGGGCUUAACCUGGGAACUGCGUUUGAAACUACAAGGCUAGAGUGUGGCAGAGGGGGGUGGAAUUCCACGUGUAGCAGUGAAAUGCGUAGAGAUGUGGAGGAACACCGAUGGCGAAGGCAGCCCCCUGGGUUAACACUGACCCCGAGCGUUGUCCGGAUUUAUUGGGCGUAAAGCGAGCGCAGGCGGUUGUUUAAGUCUGAAGUUAAAGGCUGUGGCUCAACCAUAGUAUGCUUUGGAAACUGGACAACUUGAGUGCAGAAGGGGAGAGUGGAAUUCCAUGUGUAGCGGUGAAAUGCGUAGAUAUAUGGAGGAACACCGGUGGCGAAAGCGGCUCUCUGGUCUGUAACUGACGCUGAGGCUCGAAAGCGUGGGGAGCAAACAGGAUUAGAUACCCUGNNNNNNAUACUAAGUGUCGGCGGGUUACCGCCGGUGCCGCAGCUAACGCAUUAAGUAUCCCGCCUGGGAAGUACGGCCGCAAGGUUGAAACUCAAAGGAAUUGACGGGGACCCGCACAAGCGGUGGAUUAUGUUGAUUAAUUAGAUGCAACGCGAAAAACCUUACCUACCCUUGACAUGUACCGAAGCCCGCUGAGAGGUGGGUGUGCCCGAAAGGGAGCGGUAACACAGGUGCUGCAUGGCUGUCGUCAGCUCGUGUCGUGAGAUGUUGGGUUAAGUCCCGCAACGAGCGCAACCCUUGUCCUUAGUUGCCAGCACGUAAUGGUGGGAACUCUAAGGAGACUGCCGGUGACAAACCGGAGGAAGGUGGGGAUGACAUUAAUUGCCAUCAUUCAGUUGGGCACUUUAAUGAAACUGCCGGUGACAAACCGGAGGAAGGUGGGGAUGACGUCAAGUCCUCAUGGCCCUUAUGGGUAGGGCUUCACACGUAAUACAAUGGCGCGUACAGAGGGUUGCCAACCCGCGAGGGGGAGCUAAUCUCAGAAAGCGCGUCGUAGUCCGGAUCGGAGUCUGCAACUCGACUCCGUGAAGUCGGAAUCGCUAGUAAUCGCGGAUCAGCAUGUCGCGGUGAAUACGUUCCCGGGUCUUGUACACACCGCCCGUCACACCACGAAAGCCUGUUGUACCUGAAGUCGCCCAAGCCAACCGCAAGGAGGCAGGCGCCCACGGUAUGGCCGGUGAUUGGGGUGAAGUCGUAACAAGGUAGCCGUAAGCCAUGAAGUCUGG
rnacentral:rRNA from 1 species